CGGCCACAUUGGGACUGAGACACGGCCCAGACUCCUACGGGAGGCAGCAGUGGGGAAUAUUGCACAAUGGGGGAAACCCUGAUGCAGCGACGCCGCGUGGAGGAAGAAGGUCUUCGGAUUGUAAACUCCUGUUGUUGGGGAAGAUAAUGACGGUACCCAACAAGGAAGUGACGGCUAACUACGUGCCAGCAGCCGCGGUAAAACGUAGGUCACAAGCGUUGUCCGGAAUUACUGGGUGUAAAGGGAGCGCAGGCGGGAGAACAAGUUGGAAGUGAAAUCCAUGGGCUCAACCCAUGAACUGCUUUCAAAACUGUUUUUCUUGAGUAGUGCAGAGGUAGGCGGAAUUCCCGGUGUAGCGGUGGAAUGCGUAGAUAUCGGGAGGAACACCAGUGGCGAAGGCGGCCUACUGGGCACCAACUGACGCUGAGGCUCGAAAGUGUGGGUAGCAAACAGGAUUAGAUACCCUGGUAGUCCACACCGUAAACGAUGAUUACUAGGUGUGGGGGGUCUGACCCCUUCCGUGCCGCAGUUAACACAAUAAGUAAUCCACCUGGGGAGUACGACCGCAAGGUUGAAACUCAAAGGAAUUGACGGGGGCCCGCACAAGCAGUGGAGUAUGUGGUUUAAUUCGAAGCAACGCGAAGAACCUUACCAGGUCUUGACAUCCAACUAACGAAGUAGAGAUACAUUAGGUGCCCUUCGGGGAAAGUUGAGACAGGUGGUGCAUGGUUGUCGUCAGCUCGUGUCGUGAGAUGUUGGGUUAAGUCCCGCAACGAGCGCAACCCUUAUGGUCAGUUACUACGCAAGAGGACUCUGGCCAGACUGCCGUUGACAAAACGGAGGAAGGUGGGGAUGACGUCAAAUCAUCAUGCCCUUUAUGACUUGGGCUACACACGUACUACAAUGGCGUUAAACAAAGAGAAGCAAGACCGCGAGGUGGAGCAAAACUCAGAAACAACGUCCCAGUUCGGACUGCAGGCUGCAACUCGCCUGCACGAAGUCGGAAUUGCUAGUAAUCGUGGAUCAGCAUGCCACGGUGAAUACGUUCCCGGGCCUUGUACACACCGCCCGUCACACCAUGAGAGCCGGGGGGACCCGAAGUCGGUAGUCUAACCGCAAGGAGGACGCCGCCGAAGGUAAAACUGGUGAUUGGGGUGAAGUCGUAACAAGGUAGCCGUAGGAGAACCUGCGGCUG
rnacentral:rRNA from 1 species